CCUACGGGGGGCUGCAGUGGGGAAUAUUGGACAAUGGGGGCAACCCUGAUCCAGCCAUGCCGCGUGUGUGAAGAAGGCCCUCGGGUUGUAAAGCACUUUCAGUGAGGAAGAACGCCUGGUGGUUAAUACCCAUCAGGAAAGACAUCACUCACAGAAGAAGCACCGGCUAACUCCGUGCCAGUAGCCGCGGUAAUACGGAGGGUGCGAGCGUUAAUCGGAAUUACUGGGCGUAAAGCGCGCGUAGGUGGCUUGAUAAGCCGGUUGUGAAAGCCCCGGGCUCAACCUGGGAACGGCAUCCGGAACUGUCAAGCUAGAGUGCAGGAGAGGAAGGUAGAAUUCCCGGUGUAGCGGUGAAAUGCGUAGAGAUCGGGAGGAAUACCAGUGGCGAAGGCGGCCUUCUGGACUGACACUGACACUGAGGUGCGAAAGCGUGGGUAGCAAACAGGAUUAGAUACCCCUGUAGUC
rnacentral:rRNA from 1 species